rnacentral:lncRNA from 1 species
UCGUGAGCGGAAAGACAUACCGGGAUGAGGAAGAGAAGGCUAUGCGGUUCGAAUUGUUCAAGGUCGCCCUCGAGAAUGUGGAAUCGCAGCUCCCGCCUGUCGAGGAGAGUGGUGUGCUUCCAGGGGUAAGCUGUUUCGCAGACUUUACACCCUAGGAGAUACAGAACUUGCUGGCCUUUCCCAACGGAAUUGAUGAGACCGGGUAUGACGAGAUUGUCAAGUCUGUCUGGGCCAAGCAAUAGAAAGGUCUCUUCUUCUGCAAUUAUUUAUCCUUGAAUAAUUACUUGCUAGCUUGAAUCGCUUAUAUAUGACUUUACCCAUUUUGUUUUCGAUGUCAAAUUGGACCUGGUAUAUGUUUUUAUGGAUUUAACCUGUUUUGGAUGUCAAAUUGGACCAUACACUCAUCACUAGAUAAUUUUGUUC